UUUUGGUAAUGGAGCGGUGUAAUAGGUUUGGUUGCUGGUUUUGGGUCGAUGAUGAAGGUGAUAGGGUUUUGGGCACGGUGACGAAGGGCUGGGUUUGGUUUGUUUGGUUAGGUUUGGUUGUUGGUUCGUUUUAUUUGAUUCCUUGUGUGAAGCAUGGCUAUGGGUAUUCAAAAUAUUCCGAUGAAGAUCAAUCGUCGGCUCUUGCUCCAUCAGCUUUGUCAUGGUUAAGGGUAUUCAAAAUAUUCUGGUGAACCAUGGUUAUAGGUGUUCAAAAUUUUCCGAUGAAGAUGAAUAUUUGAAAUGUUCCUUUUGUUUUAGCUUUGUUGUUGUUUCUUGUUCUUUAUCAUUACUUUAUGGGUAUUUUGGUAUACUGUUAUGAGUUCUUGAAUCAUUUUUUUUGUAUUUUGGUCUGCUUUAUGAGUUCUUGAAGAUGAAUAUUCAAAACAUUAUCAUUUCUCCUUUUCAUUAAUAAAAUUUCUCAUUGAUUGGAGGGGUGUUGUGUCCAGUUUAUUAUGGACAAUGGGGGUUCUGGUGUUCUGUUGGUAAAAGUUGGACUCUUUUUUUUUUUUUUGCUACUAAGCUGGAUUAAUUGAUUGAGAGAAAAAAAACUAACAGUAAAUUGAAAUCUAAAAGAAAAAUAGUUUUAUAUUAUAAAUUUUUCUAUGAAUUUUUGGUCUUAUAUACUUAAUUUUUACCAG
rnacentral:lncRNA from 1 species